ACUAUUAAUUCUGCUGCCUGCUUUUUAAAAUUAAAUCUUUUAGAGUUUUGAACUACAGUUUACUUUUUAAAAUAGAAAGCAAAUAAACACUUCAAAUUAUUUUAAUUUAUGUUAAUAUUUAACCAGGUUAAUUUGUUAAAAUAAAUUGUUCAGGCCGGGCGAAAAUUAGCUGGGUGUCGUGGCGCACGCCUGUAAUCCCAGCUACUAGGGAGGCUGAGGCACGAGAAUCACUUGAACCCAGGAGGUGGACAUUGCCAUGAGCCGAGAUCAUGCACUACACUCCAGCCUGGGUGC
rnacentral:lncRNA from 1 species